CACAAAAGGACUUCUGAGAGGCUUUUUGGAGGCCAGUGUCCCAGAAUGAAUCAUUUUGGAGCUGAAACUGUGAUGGACACUUCACUCCGCGAUAUCUUCGCUCCUGUCUCCACCUUUAACCCUGAGACUGCAGGAGACUGCAUGGAUCUAAACAGCAGGUAGAGCUCUUUCAGGAAGGCCUCCUCGGUCAGCUCAUCCUCCUGCACAUGACUGGGCUGGGUCUCCGCCUCCCCUUCC